rnacentral:rRNA from 1 species
GACGAACGCUGGCGGCGUGCUUAACACAUGCAAGUCGAACGCUGAAGCUUGGUGCUUGCACUGGGUGGAUGAGUGGCGAACGGGUGAGUAAUACGUGAGUAACCUGCCCUUGACUCUGGGAUAAGCCUGGGAAACUGGGUCUAAUACUGGAUAUGACAUGCCACUGCAUGGUGGUGUGUGGAAAGGGUUUUACUGGUUUUGGAUGGGCUCACGGCCUAUCAGCUUGUUGGUGGGGUAAUGGCCUACCAAGGCGACGACGGGUAGCCGGCCUGAGAGGGUGACCGGCCACACUGGGACUGGGACACGGCCCAGACUCCUACGGGAGGCAGCAGUGGGGAAUAUUGCACAAUGGGCGGAAGCCUGAUGCAGCGACGCCGCGUGAGGGAUGACGGCCUUCGGGUUGUAAACCUCUUUCAGCACGGAAGAAGCGAGAGUGACGGUACGUGCAGAAGAAGCGCCGGCUAACUACGU